CUCACUUAUUCAUUUUCUUGGCCCUCAUUCACCGUCUUCUCUUUUUCUCGCCCACCAUACCGACCAUCUGUUGGCAUACGCCACUUCCGAGGCAGGUGCCUUUGUCCGGGAGAUGAGGGCGAAACGUAGGUGUUGCUCACC
ensembl:ncRNA C43C3.6 ncRNA